rnacentral:lncRNA from 1 species
AGCCCUGUGAAUGCUCAGCCUUGUGAAUGCUCAUCCCGCCGCUGUUCGCUCUCCCGCGGUUGCUGCUUGCAUAGGGUUUCAGAUCCGGAAAUUUGAGGAUGCGAAACGUGAGAUUUUCUCUUCGACAACCUCACGCUAGUACGGGUGAUGGGUGUGCGGCCCACCGGAGCCCGCCCUGCCCAACCUGCACCCUCGGGGCUCGAAGAGGAGCCAAGCGUUUCCCCAGGUCCUAGUUAUGCCUCCAAAUAAUAUUCGUAGAAAAACAAAACAGAAAAACCCUCCAGACUUUUAUCCACAAAUAAAGAAGAAACAUAUUUUGGUUAAAACGUCACCCAAUUCUUCAAGGAUGACUUACGCAGUUAUGCAAGAAUGGGUUUGCCACAUGUGACCACAGUGGUGACUGGCCCCUGAGGAAGGAAAAUUUUAAGUACGGGGAAGGGGCCGGAGGGCAAGGAGAUUCGUGAGAAUAUCGCAGGGCCUGUAAUGCUGAAACCAGUGCGUCGCCACUAUUAUUGGUAUCCAGUAAUUAUUAAUGUCAAACGGAAAAAUAGCAACGCGGGAUAUUUUAUUUUAGAAGUCACCACGGUCAUGGAAAAAACACGGGCUCUGGAGUCAGACCCAUGUAUAACAAUCUUUGUACAGUUAAGACUCAGUUCUAUUAUCUAUAAAAUGGGCCUUAAUAAUAGUACUACCUUAUAGAGCUAUUAGGAUCAAGAGAAUAUUUAAUCAAUGAUGGGUUGUGUUUGGUUGAGUGAUGUGAAAUUGCCAAUGUUUUGGCCGUUCUGGGUCUACAUCAUUCCCCUUAAUGGUACAGUACUUGCAUACUGCUGCGGUUUCCUGUCAGGGGGAGGACUGGAUUAUGAUCCAUGGGAAGGGGAAAUGGAAGAACGGUGGAAAUGAGUUGCCCAUGACCACACUGAGAAGAGGGAAAGAGGGACCAAGACACAAGUCUCUUGACUUCAGUCCAGCCCAUUUCCCAUGACCAAGAUUCCUCUGAUUACAUGAAGGUGGGUUCUCAAAAAACCCGUAAUAAAAGGACAAGGUCUUCCAUGUCCACUUCACCAGAAAUGUUUUAUUCUUACUUUUUAGGAACUGCGGCCCCCAACUGUUAUGCAUAUUGAAUAAAGGGACAGAACAGGGAUGAGGUGCCCUCCAAUGCAUACUUUGCAAAUGUAAGAACUUUCAACAUUUCCUAAGAAAUCCUUUUCAACUGACAAUUAUUUUUUAAAGUUUUCAUAAUGUUCAAUAAUUUUAUAAUUGUUAAGUUUCAUUAAUUUGCUCCAAGGUGGUGAGGAACAUGGGAUGUGGCAUCUGAAUUGCCUGAGUCCAAAUCGUGGACCCAAUGCUUCCUGGCUGUGUAAUUUGGACAAGUGACUGAACCUUCUGAGCCUCGGUUUCUCUCAUCUGUAAACUGGGGACAAUAAUGGUGGUUGUGAGAAGUACAGUAUGAUGUGCCUGGCAGAGGGAGAGAGCAGUUGUGGGUUUUGUUGUUGUUUUUAACGAGUCCCUGAUAGCCACAUAUCCCGUUAGGGAGAUGAGCCAGCUAUUGAGGGUUCUGUGAGAACUCAUAGCAACACCACCCUAAUCAGAGGAAAGGGGAAGGAGAAAGGGAAACAAGAUCCUUGGGCUGAUCAGAGGCAGAGGUGGCAAUGGCACAACACCUAUUGGGGCCCAAGGUGGGCAGGGGCCACACCACGAAGGCUGUGGUUGGGAAUCAAGUUUAGCCCAUAAAGCAGUAGGCAAUCAAAUGAUCAAAUUUAUGCUUUCCUCUAUUCAAGCCAUUCUCCCUUAUGCCUGAGAUCUCUCUCUGGAAUUCCAAACCGAUCUAGAUCUUUCCAAGCAUCACAAUGGCCAUUUCAGUGGCAGACAUUUCUGGGGUUCAAAUAUCUUGUUAUCUAUCCUUUAUUAGCUUUGUUUAUACUGUGAUUGGGGGAAAGGGGACGUGUCGGUCUUUACAUGAUUAAAAUUACUUAAAAUGACUUUUAUACAUCAGUAUGAAUGUUAUAUUGUUUUAAAUAAUCAGCAGAAAAAUCUGACUGGGGAUGUUUUAUUUUUCUGUAACUUCCAUUUGUUGUUGUUUUGAUGCACUUUCCUUCUCCUAUUAAUUCCAUAAAGGAGGCAGUAUUUCCAGGCUUCACAGAGCAGAAGAUGGAGGCUCACAGACUCACCUGAGGUUACAGAAGUAGUAAAUGGUAGCAGGCCUUUUUGCUCCAAAGCAUGUGCUCUUUCAGUAUCACUUCCUGGGGGUGAGGGUUCAGACCAUGUUAGGAUCAGGGAAUGGCCUGGGUUUCUGUGGCUUGCUGCAGACAGCUCCCAAGUGGCCCUCAAGGACUGCCUGGACAUGGAAAGGCCAGGAGCAUAUGACCCCAUGUGAAAGACCCAUCUGCACCCUUCCUGGAGCCUAAUGCAGAGACAGGGAUGUAAAACUGCUUUUUCUCUGACAUGAGCCUUUGUUCUGUACAUAAUAACCAAGAACCAGAAGUUGCUCCUAUGCUCUCAAAGCAGUGAUUUGCAAUUGCAUGACAGAGCCCCCUGGGUUCCACACCACCUCUGUGGGGAGAGGGCAGGCACUCACACUUUUAAAAUGCCCCUUAGAUGAUUUCAAUUUGCAGUCGGGGCUGAGAACCAGUGUCCUGAACUCACUCAGUUUAUUUGGGAGACUCCCAAAAUGUGUAUUUGCAGAGCCCCCUUUCGGGGAGAGUGCUGUUGGAUGCCCCUGGAAGAUUAUGGCAGCUCUCUAAGGAACAUAGCCAUAGUCCACGCCCACCACUCUUGGUCACAAGGGCAGAAGAAGGGAGGAGGGGUCUGCUGGGAGGUCAGGACUUCUUUGAGAUGAUCUGUCCAGUUGGGUGC